AUGGGAUCUGGUGCUGGAAGUUUCCUCAAAGUUCUCUUUAAAAACUUCGAUGUUCUUGCUGGGCCUGUGGUUAGUUUGGUUUAGCCACUGUAAGUUUUGGUUCAAAGAUUAUAGCUUUAUGAAUUCUGAUCUUUUUUUUUUCUUAUGCAUUGUUCUGUGUUCAUGUUAAAUCCUCUGUAAUCUGGUUAACUGAUUCUAGGUUGUUGUGGAGUAUGGCUUUGUUCAUUUCCAGAAGAAUCGUACGUUCAUUUGGUUCUGGUUUAGCAUCAGGCCAUGUUU
rnacentral:lncRNA from 1 species